rnacentral:piRNA from 1 species
UAGGACUUACUCUUGUGAUUUUUACCUUU